rnacentral:lncRNA from 1 species
GUAAAUACGUUGUUUUUUUUAAAGGGUCAUCAGACACGUACUCUAUUUUUCUACAUUUUUUUCUCUAUCCAUAUUCCUGAAUACUGUUAUAUCCAUUCUCAAUUAACUGUCAAAAUUACUUCAUUCACUGAUAAACCUGCUAAUCUGUACCUAUGUAUUUUUGAUACAAUCUUAUUAUUCUGCAGGAAAAGUAUUAUAUAGUCCUAUGAAAAUUCCUUAGUAUAAAUAUACACACAGAGGUCAAAGUAAAAACUCCAUUACUUGUCUAUGAAUGUGGCUCAGAGAAACUACCUAGCAUGUACAAGGCCCUGAGUUCUCUGGCAUGACGAAACCAAAAGAUACUGUUACUGUAGCUUAUGCUUUUGCCCUUUCACAUACCAGAAAGCAGAGAGCCUUGAUCUGGAAGUCUUCUGCAUGUUUUCUAGUUGGAAACAUCUAUAGAUCCCAGGAAAAAUGAGCAGAUUCCUAGCAGUCAGGUUAAAUGUAAAAGUCUGUUCUCUUCAUUCAAACUUAAAUAUCAGUAAAGGAUUUGAUGAAACACAGGCAUGAAACCUUGAAUUCUCUCUGGAAGAAACCAUGUUCAGAGUUUUGGAACUCCAGAUGCCACUACCCUCAGAGUUCAUACCCUCAGAGUUGCCAAAAAUUGUAUUAAGCUUAAAAGCAAAUAAUAAAUAACAGCUGCCUGCCUAAAAUCUGAUCAGAUAACCCAGGAUAAGAUGUCAGCUAACUUGCUUUUUUAACUCUUAUUUGAUUUUUUUCCUUUGUUUUUCUGUGUAUAUUUUAAAAUAGGAAUACACUAUGAUAUGAUUACAUUGAUCUAAUUAGCAUAUAUAUAUUGUUUCAUAUAAUUGUUUCUUAUGAUGAGAAUGUUCAAAAUCGAUGUUCUUAGCAAUUUUGAAAAAUCAAUAUUUUAUUUUGUGUUUAUUGGUUAUUAAUUCAAAUAAAAAAUAAUCUAAAAAUAGUUCCCACCUUUUCAGGGUUAAAAAUACAGUUCUUUUUUUUUAUUUAAAAUUUUUUAUACAAUAUAUUUUGAUCAUAUUUUCCCCUCCUCCAUCUUCUACCAGGUCCUACCCACCUCUCUAUCCACACAGCUUUGUGUGCUUUUUCUUUCUUUUUCAAAAAAAAAAAAAAA